AUGGUCCAGAAGGACCACCGGGUUUCAGGGGAAGAGAUGGUCAGCCUGGACCCCGUGGAGAGCCAGGACCCCCAGGAGCUGGAGAGAAGGGUGAAAGGGGUAUUCCUGGUCUUCCUGGCUCUCCUGGUCUUGUUGGUCCACCUGGGCCUAAAGGUGCUAGUGGUUUACAUGGUGAACAAGGCCCUCAAGGCUUCAGAGGUGAACCUGGCCCUGCCGGGCCUAAAGGUGAAAGAGGUCCCUCCGGUCCACCUGGAAUUAAAGGUGAUCAUGGUGAUAGAGGAGAAAAUGGAAUGCCAGGUGUUCCUGGUGCUGCAGGACGACAAGGGCCAUCUGGUGAGAAAGGAGCUAAAGGAUCAGCAGGUGAUUCAUCUGUAGGAACAGACACAAACCUGAGAUUUUUGGCUUUUUGCCAUUUUAUUGU
rnacentral:lncRNA from 1 species